GAUGAACGCUAGCGGCAGGCUUAAUACAUGCAAGUCGAGGGACAGCACAGGUAGCAAUACUGGGUGGUAACCGGCAAACGGGUGCGGAACACGUACACAACCUUCCUUUAAGCGGGGGAUAGCCCAGAGAAAUUUGGAUUAAUACCCCGUAAUAUAGUUGAAUGGCAUCAUAUGAUUAUUAUAGCUACGGCGCUUAAUGAUGGGUGUGCGGCUGAUUAGAUAGUUGGCGGGGUAACGGCCCACCAAGUCUACGAUCAGUAGCUGAUGUGAGAGCAUGAUCAGCCACACGGGCACUGAGACACGGGCCCGACUCCUACGGGAGGCAGCAGUAAGGAAUAUUGGUCAAUGGACGCAAGUCUGAACCAGCCAUGCCGCGUGAAGGAUUAAGGUCCUCUGGAUUGUAAACUUCUUUUAUUUGGGACGAAAAAGGGCCUUUCUAGGUCAACUGACGGUACCAGAUGAAUAAGCACCGGCUAACUCCGUGCCAGCCGCCGCGGUAAAAC
rnacentral:rRNA from 1 species